rnacentral:lncRNA from 1 species
AUAAUCAAGGAAAUGGGGUAAUUUUCUAUUUCAGUGAUUUGAUGAUAUUAGAUUUAUGAAAUUCAAUUAUCAAUUUCGUAGUUUUUUUUCAGAUUCCUCUUAUCUCGUUUUGAAUACCUAUUCAGUUCUUUUCUAAUUUCAGAUUCCGCUUUUCUCAUUUUGAAUACUCAAUUGAGUCACACUAUUGGUACUUAUUUUCCUUUGUAUAUAUGUGUUGGCUGCUCAAGGGGUGUGGUCAGAGAAAGUAACAAAUCAUAUUAUAUAAUAUAUUGUGUUCUUCUUGGAUUGUAGUGAUUGCUCUGUAUGUUUGUGAAUUACAUAAAAAAUUGUUAUAUAUUACCCACUCUUUCAAUCGAAGCUCAAUCCUAGCAGGGCUAUCCUUUCUAUUUUUCAUGCCCUCUCAAAUUUCCAAGGUUAACUGUGAAAACGUGUCUGAAACCAUAUAUUCAUGAUUAACUUUGUUUUUUGGUUCUUUUACUUGAUAUUUAAACUCAAGUUCUUCUCUUUUGAUACUUUCAAUAAUAAUGAAUUCUCUAAAGCUGUGAAAUAUUUCUAAUUCUAUGAACAUUCACUAUUACUAUCAACUAUCCCACAGAGAUUUCAAAAUAGUGGAUACCAUCAGGAAGUUGUACAUAUUGAUGUAGUUAGUUUUGAAAGUGAACUUCAAUUGCUUGAAUUCUUACUUCUUUUAUCUGAUUUUCAGGUAUUUUCUUCACUUGAUAUCCUUAUGGCGAUAUUUAAUCUACUAAAUUUUGACUUUUGCUUGUUUUGUUAUUAUUUUUAUAGUUUGCUUCAAAUUCUAUAUGUACGACGCCGAAUUAGUUCUAUAUGUGUUUUUUGGUUGAAAAUAUACGUUGUUGGCUAUGAAAGUUACCUAUUUUAAAGAAAAAAAACUUUUUUGAUUGGGUAAUUAUUUCUUCUCCAAAAGCAGUUGUCCACUCAUUUUCAGGUUUCACAUCAAAGGUUUGGUGAACAAGUCAAUUAUAGUUCUCAUCUAAGGUAAAAUAUUUCUCUAAAUCCAUUGAUAUUACAGUUACUAGUGCAGACUUUUGCAUACUUCAGUAGUAGUGCAGUCAUGUCUAAAUAACAGAGUGAAAGUUCAACUAUUCUUAAAUGUUGUAAAAAUCCUUGGAGUAAUUUCUUACUUUGUUUGCUAUGUCAAGCUGUUAAUAGUUCGUGCUUUACAGUGUAAGAUUACUUCUUUUUUCUUAGCGUUACUAGAUAACUUUUGCAAAGAAAUAAUAAGUGCAAGAGACUUCUGACUUAAAUUCUUUGUAGUUCAUGGCUGAUAAAAUAUAUUAUAAGACUAACAUGUAUAUAAUUUCAGCUUUUUCUUAGGAAUCUCCUUGAUACACACCUUGCCUCAUGGAGUUGUAUAUAUACAUCAUAAAGUACACUAUAGGCAUGGUUAAAUCAAAUACAUGACUGCACUUGGACCAAUUUUAAAAUUCAACAGAGAAAUGCAUCUCAAUUGUAAAUCUAUGAAGUAGAGAAGUUUGAGGACACUACUGCUCUCAUUGAAAUAUUUAGAGGCAAGUAUUAUGAUAGUCUCAUGGAGAGAUGCUAGAGAACUGGAAAGAUAGUACAUGUAUAGUGCCAGUAUAACUAACAGUUGAGUGUCCUAGUACCUACCCUUGUGUACCAUUCAUGCUUGAUGAAGUUAUACUGGGUCCUGAGGAAUGCAAACUGAAUGGUUAGGACUCCCCUGCUACAAUGAAAACAUAAGGAGCAUCACCAGAUUUGCUAAAUGAAAAGAAAGAAUCAUGAAAAACUCUAGUUACCUAUGGGAGAAGUAUUACAAGAUUUACUAUAUUUCGAGCUCCGUUAGACAAUUUGUAUGUUAAAUGUAGCACUCAAUACAAUUAUCAAGCAUUAUAAUACAAAUUUAAGGAAGGAGGUUUAUGUCCAUUUUGUUUCUGUUUCAGCUUUCAAUCGAGUUUUCAAAAUCAUCCAAAACUUACCAAUAUUUUCUCUAUUUUGUUCUGCUGCAUUUUAUCUCUUUGCCUGCUGUCCAAGUCUAUACUUCUGCUGAACAAAAAAAGGGGGACAAAACUUCCUAAUGUGUUCUCGAUAGGGAAAAAAUAUCGAUGAAUAAUAUUUUACCUUAGAUUAAAAUGGCGUUAAAGGAUAGACCAUUGUAUGUAGUAUGAACUUAAUGAUCUUUCUUGUUGUAUUUUAUUUAUUUAGAAGCAUCAACUUCAAAGUUUUAAUUCAUACUUUGGAUUCUAUUAGGUAAACCAACAAAGUCGCCAAAAAGAAGUAUUCUAGAACUUAUUCUUGACAUUCUGCAAUGGUUGCAGCAUCCUUAUAUUAUAUUAAGUUUGAUAUUUAUCACAUUACGUGUACAAUAAGAAAUACAUUAUACAUCUUACUACUUUGUUUGUGUGUAUUUUUAUGUUAGGAGGGAUGAAUACCUAUUAAAUAUUUGCAGAACCAGUUGAUCGCGCUGAGGUUCUAUUGGUCUUAUGAUUGGCUUUGGUUUUUGAAGGCCAGGUAUUCUUAAUAAAUUACAUCUUCUGUUUCUAUUAUGGUGGAAGAUUACUAUGAAAUCAUUAAAGAACCUAUGGAUUUCGGUACAAUGAGGCUAAGCUUCAUGAGGGAAUGUAUGAAAACCUCCAAAAGUUAGAGAUCUGCUAUUCCCCUAAAUUGAGCCUUUAGGUUUAUUUUCUUAUAUAGAAAAUCUUUUUCUUUUCCCUUCAAGUCAAAGUGGACUUGGAUGAAUUCGAGGAAGCAAUAUCAAGUUGUGUCAGUCAUUCUCUUUCUAUUAUAGUUACGUUGAUUGUAGCAACAUUUGGACCUUCAAUCACAUACCAUGUUUGUGAAGUGCAUUAUCUACUAAUAACACAACAAUCAAUCAUUAAUUUAAAAAGAAUGUCCAUACAUAUAAUGUCUAUUUAAUUCUAAUUACACGUAGUCAGGUUAUCUAUUCCUAGACUUGGUAGAUGUUACUAUCUUACUAGUUCUACAUAUGUUUUUUGUAUGACUAAACAACUUAGAAAGUAUUUACUCUACUUUUAUCAUUGAUAUUUUGUCCAUAAAUUUGCAGCUACAUGUUCAUAUAUAGAUGAAAGAUUAUGUAUUUCUUAGAACUUUGCUUUAGAAUUGAGUGCAACGUUAAUUGGAAAGUUGAAAUUUAGAUAUACUAGAUUGUCUAAACUAUGUUUAAUUUAAGUUCUCUAGUGGAAUGUUUAGUAGUUAUGAGCAUUAUUAAUUAUGUCUUUGACAGGUUUAAUGAUUUGAUGAAUUUACAAGUCUCCGACCAAAAGCGAAGAUGAGAUUAUCAUAAUGCCGAGACAGUUGGACAACUUUUCAAAUUUCGUAUAGUAAAUGUAAUGACUAAUAUUGGGCUGUAGAAUGCUACAUUGCUACUGAUGGGAUGUUAAUCUGAUUUUUGUAACUGCUUAUAUAUAUGAAGGCAUGCCAUGCUUGAUCUUAUGUCUUUAU